UACCAGCACCCCGAGUGGUCGGGACGUUUAUUGGGCCUAAAGCAUCCGUAGCCGGUUCUACAAGCCUUCCGUUAAAUCCAACUGCUUAACAGGUGGGCUGCGGAAGAUACUAUAGAGCUAGGAGGCGGGAGAGGCAAGCGGUACUCGAUGGGUAGGGGUAAAAUCCGUUGAUCCAUUGAAGACCACCAGUGGCGAAGGCGGCUUGCCAGAACGCGCUCGACGGUGAGGGAUGAAAGCUGGGGGAGCAAACCGG
rnacentral:rRNA from 1 species